rnacentral:rRNA from 1 species
GGCUCUCCCUAUCCUGGCGGUGCAGCAGCUGCCAAGGGUGGGGUUGUUCGCCCAUUAAAAGGGAUCGUGAGCUGGGUUUAGACCGUCGUGAGACAGGUUUGUUGCUUUUUGGUGGAAGUGUAUUGAUGCCUGACGAGAAGGACCCUUGAGUACGAGAGGAACGGGGGUUCGGUGCCUCUAGUCAAUCAGUUGUCCGACAGGGCAUGCUGAGCAGCCACGCACUACUGGAUAAGAGCUGAAAGCAUCUAAGCUCGAAGCCACCUUGAAAAAGAGGCAUCUUAGGACGCUCAUAAUUGAUGAGCUUGAUAGAAUCGGGAUGUACGCAUCGAGGGCAACCGAGAUGUUCAGUCCGCGAUUACUAACGUCCAUCGCCGCAAAGCA